rnacentral:rRNA from 1 species
UGGGGAAUAUUGCACAAUGGGCGCAAGCCUGAUGCAGCCAUGCCGCGUGUGUGAAGAAGGCCUUCGGGUUGUAAAGCACUUUCAGCGAGGAGGAAGGUGGUGAGCUUAGUACGCUCAUCAAUUGACGUUACUCGCAGAAGAAGCACCGGCUAACUCCGUGCCAGCAGCCGCGGUAAUACGGAGGGUGCAAGCGUUAAUCGGAAUUACUGGGCGUAAAGCGCACGCAGGCGGUUUGUUAAGUCAGAUGUGAAAUCCCCGGGCUCAACCUGGGAACUGCAUUUGAAACUGGCAAGCUAGAGUCUCGUAGAGGGGGGUAGAAUUCCAGGUGUAGCGGUGAAAUGCGUAGAGAUCUGGAGGAAUACCGGUGGCGAAGGCGGCCCCCCUGGACGAAGACUGACGCUCAGGUGCGAAAGCGUGGGGCAGCAAACAGGAUUAGAUACCCUGGUAGUCCACGCUGUAAACGAUGUCGAUUUUGGAGGUUGUGCCCUUGAGGCGUGGCUUCCGGAGCUAACGCGUUAAAUCGACCGCCU